CCUGCCUUCUCUGUAAGAGCCUCUUAUUUUUCAUUCAACUGUACUGCCCGAAGAACUCUAAUACUUUCUCCAUAGGACAAGGGUGGAACACCAAGGUAUGCAUACACUAGCCAUUUCAAGAAUAUAAGAAGAAAAGGAAAGAAGAAGGUGUGUAGGCAGGAACCAUAUGAGUGAAGAAGUCUUCAAGAUGACUGAAGCCCUAAUCAUUGUCUGCCUGCACUUGUAUGUGGGAGCCCAAGAAGGAACCACCUAAUUGAGCCCAGUCAACCCUCAGAACCUUGAGAAAUAAUAAUAUUUAAUCAUUGUCAUUUUAGACCAUCUUUUUUGUUAUACAGGAUAACCAGAGCAGAGCUCACUAUGUAAGGAAGGU